rnacentral:rRNA from 1 species
UAGAAGUUACUUCGGUACAUCGGUGACAGGUUGGUGCAUGGUUGUCGUCAGCUCGUGUCGUGAGAUGUUGGGUUAAGUCCCGCAACGAGCGCAACCCCUAUUGUUAGUUGCCAUCAUUCAGUUGGGCACUCUAGCGAGACUGCCGGUAAUAACGGAGGAAGGUGGGGAUGACGUCAAAUCAUCAUGCCCCUUAUGACCUGGGCUACACACGUGCUACAAUGGUUGGUACAACGAGUUGCGAGUCGGUGACGGCGAGCUAAUCUCUUAAAGCUAAUCUCAGUUCGGAUUGUAGGCUGCAACUCGCCUACAUGAAGUCGGAAUCGCUAGUAAUCGUGUCUCAAAUGGCACGGUGAAUAUGUCCCUGCUCCUU